UUAGCUCAUAUUUGUAUGGAGUGGGAUCGUUUGCGUACGUUUGCCGCUAGGGGCGCUGUUCCAACUGCAUACAAAAUUGAGUUA
rnacentral:pre_miRNA from 1 species